rnacentral:rRNA from 1 species
UNAAUAGAGAAAGAGUGAGUAACACGUGGGCAAUCUGCCCUUCACUCUGGGACAAGCCCUGGAAACGGGGUCUAAUACCGGAUAUCACUCCUGCAGGCAUCUGCGGGGGUCGAAAGCUCCGGCGGUGAAGGAUGAGCCCGCGGCCUAUCAACUUGUUGGUGAGGUAGUGGCUCACCAAGGCGACGACGGGUAGCCGGCCUGAGAGGGCGACCGGCCACACUGGGACUGAGACACGGCCCAGACUCCUACGGGAGGCAGCAGUGGGGAAUAUUGCACAAUGGGCGAAAGCCUGAUGCACCGACGCCGCGUGAGGGAUGACCGCCUUCGGGUUGUAAACCUCUUUCAGCAGGGAAGAAACGAAAGUGACGGUACCUGCAAAAUAAGCGCCGGCUAACUACGUGCCAGCAGCCGCGGUAAUACGUAGGGCGCAAGCGUUGUCCAGAAUUAUUGGGCGUAAAGAGCUCGUAGGCGGCUUGUCACGUCUGGUGUGAAAUCCCGGGGCUUAACCCCGGGUCUGCAUUCGAUACGGGCAUGCUAGAGUGNGGUAGGGGANAUCUGAAUUCCUGGUGUAGCGGUGAAAUGCNCAGAUAUCANGANNANNNCNGGUGGCGAANGCGGUCUCUGGGGCCNUACUGAACNUUAAGNANCAAAAGGUUGGGGAG